GGCCUUCAAAUCUUCCACUUUCAUGCGUAUAGUGCAAAUGCCGGCGCAAGUCGGCUAUGGCGAUAAAUGAACGGUGUAAUAAGCCUAUCGGACCCGGGGGCGGUACCCGGCGCCUCCACCCAAGCGCAUGGCCAGGACCGGCAAUGGGCUUCGGCGGGGGCGAAACAGGAUCGACGAGGGUGUAAAGAUCGCUUUUUUGCUCGGCAUGGUUCCGCCGUCAUCGGGCCAAACAUGUAGUUGCGAAUGACAACUAUGCUCCGGUUGCUCAGGCCGCGUGACGCGGUUUGAUCUUCCAGUAUUGAAGUCCUGAGGGGUAGCACUUUCAGGCGGGGUCCGAGGGCACCUGGCAACAGAAGCCCUCACU
rfam:Proteobacteria bacterium SG_bin8 2304, whole genome shotgun sequence.